UUUGCCCUUUGAACUCUCUGACCUUAGGAACCUGAUUUCAAACGGUGGAUAGAUUCCAUAGCAACAGUCUAGCACCAUUUGAAAUCAGUGUUCCUAGUUCAAGAAAAAUCGUCAUGGCAAUC
rnacentral:pre_miRNA from 14 species